CAGGGCUGCGCUCCUGUGGCGCCCGCCCCCUCGCUCCCAGGGUCUGUGCUUUGCUUUAUUAAACUGCUCUGCUUGUACCUGCCCGACCUGCUCGUGAUUCUUCCUCCAUCAGUGUCAAGAGCCCUCUCCCGGGCUGAGGCGGCCUGCGGGCGGCCCUCCCUGGCCCGGCCUGCCCCCGAGGCGGCAGAAGGACGGCUGCCAAGCCGGGCACUUUCUGACCCUCAGGCCUGUGAACACGCUUGCCCGCUGUGGCAGGUGGCAGGCUGGGACUGUGUUUGGAAGCCAUCAUCAAGUACCUGGAGAUAAAUAGGUGUGGUCCGUGGAGGAGCUGGCCACCGAGGACAGCUGGGGCUACGACCACCCUGACUCUGCCACAGAAGCCCAUGGCCAGACCCAGUGCAUGCAGGGCCCUGAGGAGGGAUUCACUGAACUGUGCUUGGCCAUUCACAGUAUGACUGACCCAGCUUUUGGAGAAAACAAUUUUCCCAGGGCUGGGAUGAAACCAGGCUCCACCCUUGAAACAUGAUGUUAAGGGUCUCCCUCUUCUAGUUCAUUCUGCCAGGGCUGCUCAGAGCAGCUGUAUGUGUGCACGUAUGUGAGUGGAUGCAUGUGUGGAUACGUGUGUGCAGAA